CGCGCGCAGGCGGUUUCUUAGUCUGAUGUGAAAGCCCCCGGCUCAACCGGGGAGGGUCAUUGGAAACUGGGGAACUUGAGUGCAGAAGAGGAGAGUGGAAUUCCACGUGUAGCGGUGAAAUGCGUAGAGAUGUGGAGGAACACCAGUGGCGAAGGCGACUCUCUGGUCUGUAACUGACGCUGAGGCGCGA
rnacentral:rRNA from 1 species